CACGUAGGCGGAUAUUUAAGUCAGGGGUGAAAUCCCAGAGCUCAACUCUGGAACUGCCUUUGAUACUGGGUAUCUUGAGUAUGGAAGAGGUAAGUGGAAUUCCGAGUGUAGAGGUGAAAUUCGUAGAUAUUGGAAAGAACACCAACAGCGAAGGCACUUUACUGGGCCAGUACUGACACUCAGAGACGAAAGCUAGGGGAGCAAACA
rnacentral:rRNA from 1 species